rnacentral:lncRNA from 1 species
ACUCCAGUCACUUUCCAGGCAAGACAGGGCUACCUUCAGCAUCUCUAGUGAAAGUGGUGAAUUAGCACUUCAGAAGUGAGAUGGCAUGGACAGAAGCUUCUGGGGCUGAGCUCACCAUUGGAAGCUUCUUUCCAGCUUCCUGAAGGUCUCUGGAGGUCUCUUCUUACCGGGGAGGAUGAUCCCUGGUGGCUCCCUGCUGACAUUCUUCAAAACUCGGCUAUUUCCCCAGUGUCCUGCUGAUAAAACAGAAGAGGAAAUGAUGAAACUGUUUGCAGUGGCCUGUAGUGAAGUGGCUCUUUCUGCCCUUGCUGUGCGUCUCACUCCAGGACCUCCUGAAGAGCGCUGAUCCUGCACUAUACAUGUGGUUCUUCUCCUAUGCCUCCCGACUUGUCAGAGAAUUUCUUGAGGACAUGGAUGACUGUCUGGCAGCGACAGUUCCAGGAUGCCAGUGUCUCUACAUCGUGACAACUUUGAAUGUGACCAUUGUAUCACCUACUAAGUCCGGCAGAACUAGAAAUUAUGGCUGAAGUUCCAGAAAGUUCCAGAAAGCACAUUUGGCCUUAUAAUAGAUAAUUACUAACUGCAAGAGCUGUGCAUUUACUAAAUGAUAUGCUCUGCCAAGGAGCGAGUUCCCCAUCACAGAGAGCAGCAGAAGCCAUCAUCAGGAAUGCUGCGUGUGGAUUUCUGAGUUGAGUAUGCGGUUAAAACACAAGACGCUAGGUUUAGUCCAAUCUUAAAAUUCUACGAUUUUAAUCUUUUAAAAAUAGUGUUUGCAUAGUAUUUUUAAGUUUUUGAUGAACCUCACAUACAUGAUCUCAUUGAUUCUUUUUUAAAAAAUGGAGGUCACUUUUUCUUGGCUUAAACAAAUGAAAAUAAAUAUAAACAAUAUAGACUUCUGAAGAAGGAUGGCAGAAUAAAGGCAAAAUAAAGACUCUCCUCCUCCAACAUCUAAAAUAUGAAUAAAAAUAAUAAAAAUCAGCAAAAAAAAAAAAACCCACAAAAAAACAGCAACAGCAAGAACACAAAGAAAUGGGAGCAACCUAACGUCAUAGACUUCAAAAAGGGGAGGACAAAGGAAGGAAGGAGAGAUUUUAGAAAAGUAGUUUCUCUGUGCUCACUUUGGAAGACUUGGAUUACCAAAAUAUUGAAAAAUUGAAUCAAAAGCUAUUAAUCUGAAAAGAAACAAAUUAGCAGGGCAUAUUGUUUUCCUUGAAUGCUUUAGGUUAUAGAACAGGUUAAUAACAAUAUGAAUUCAACAUAGUGGGUCCCAAAGAGGAAAUGAUGAAACAAGAGAAUGAUCUGGAAAAGUGAUUUUCUACUGUCCUAUAGAAACAAAUUAAAGACCAAAACAAUAUUAUUUUUUUUUAAUGAUACUUUAGUUCUAGGGUACAUGUGCACAAUGUGCAGGUUUGAUACAUAGGUAUACAUGUGCCACGUUGGUUUGCUGCACUCAUCAACUCGUCAUUUACAUUAGGUAUUUCUCCUAAUGUUAUCCCUUCCCCCGUCGCCCAACCCCACGACAGGCCCGGGUGUGUGAUGUUCCCCGCCCUGUGUCCAAGUGUUUUCAUUCAAAACGACAUUAUUAUAGAACUGAUAAAUAGAUAAAAAUCAUCAAAAAAAAAAAAGCUGAAUAGGCACAACUCAAAAUAAGCUUACAGACAGAAAAAAAUCCUUAAGAUAAAGAUAGAAAUUGCAUGUGAAAAGCACAAAGCAAUUUCAGCCUAGUUCUUAAGCCUGGUUGUAGACAAUCUGCAAAUAGGACAGACAAAAUAUUCAAAGCUAUAAAACAAAAAAAAUUGCUCUGACAAAUGCAGAAACGAAUCUGCAGAUUGAAAGAGCACACCAUGACCCAAGAAAAACAAAUACUAAAUGAUCAGCACUGAGACAUAUCCUCAUUAACUUAUCAAACUUCAAGGACUUUUUUAAAAAGUAUUUUGGCAUAGGACAUAAAAAGUAAAGGAAGCCAGUUAGGGUUGCCUUUGACACUAACAAUCAAUUUUGCAUGCCAAGCUAUAAUAAAGCACUACCUAGGAUUUCCAAGGGAAAGUGUGACUCAAGAGUAUUUCACCCAUCCAGAAUGAGUUUCAGUAUAAAAGUCACAGAUAAAUAUUCUGACCCACGACAGAACUCAGGGAACACACACUCAUGAGUCCUUCUUGAGAGGAAUUAUUCAGUGAUGAACAGUCAAUUUAGAGAUGAAUAGAAAUAAAAUAUUUGGAAAUAUAGAGUCUGGGAUAAAAAAGACUUCUUAGGAACACAUAAUUCAUUUGAGUAUGGAACUCAUGGUAUUAAACAAUUACGGGAUUAAUGUUUCCACAACAGAAUGUGAAUAUUAUAAGCAAAGAUAUUGUAAAAAUAAUAUUAGAGCCAAAAUUGGGAAGUGAGGGGUAGGGAGAUGGGAGGAAGUACAAGUCUAAAGAUUUACUCAUCUUUCCGAUGUGUGAGUCAUUCAAUAUUGUCUAAAACUGAAACAUGUUGCUAAAAAAAUAAUGACUCCAACAUUUUAACAUUUUUCAUAGUAUCUUUUCUUAACCUUAUUUCCCCAAGAGGGAAUAUUGAGCAAAUAGUAUCUCCUGUGGUAAAGAAUAUUUAAUGAAAGGGCAACAAAUUUUCAGUUUUAUGUUAGUUUUACUUUUCUAAUGUUCAAUUCAAGUAACAUUAAAUCCAUUAGUUUUUUGAAGAAUGUGUAUAAUAUGAUCAUCUUUAUGUAAAAAUAUUUUUGCCUGUCUAUGUCUGUUUCUCUUUCAAUCUCUCUUUAGCAUAUGACAUGGCUUGACUCUGUGUCCCCACUCAAAUCUCACCUUGAAUUUUAAAAUCUCCAUAUGUCAAGGGAGGUACCAGGUGGAGAUAAUUGAAUCAUGGGGAGAAUUUCCCCCAUGCUGUUCUCAUGAUAGCGAGUGAGUUCUCAAAAUAUCUGAUGGUUUUAUCAGGGGCUUCCCCCUUCACUUGACACGCAUUCUCUCUCCUGCCGCCCUGUGAAGAGGUGCCUUCUGCCAUGAUUGUAAGUUUCUUGAGGCCUCCCUAGCCAUGUGGAACUGUGAGUUAAUUAAACCUCUUUUCUUUAUAAAUUACCCAGUCUUGGGUAUUUCUUCAUAGCAGGGUGAGAAUGGACUAAUGCGGCAUACAUUUCUCUUUCCUCUCCUCUCCUUUCCAAAUAGUAACUGGAUUUUCAUUCAGAUUUCCAUCUCUCUGCCAGGCAACCUAAGUACUUCAGGGGACUGUGAACCCAGCUCCAGGGCCAGGGUGGAAUGAUUGGGCUAAGGAUAAUUCCUUAUCCCAGGGAACUCAGGUCAAAACCAACCAGGGUGUGGCAUAUUCCUGCAGUAGAAUCUGGAAUGGGCUUGUGACCCAGCUCAGGCCAGUGAAACAUGAAGGAAGGCUUGGCGGAGAAUUCUGAAGAAGGAGCUUCUCAGCUUUUAAGAGAAGCUCACCAUAGGAAACUCCCUCUCUCCCUCUGGACUUGUUGGUUUAAAGACGCAAAACCUGGAGCUGCUACAGACAUUUUUCACCACUGCAAGUGAAGACUUCUGCCCCAUAGACAGCGACUGGAAGCUGGAUCAGGCCAACCCUGAAGAUCACUCUGUCUCUGGAUGUCGGUUACACAAAUCAAUACAUUUCCAUGUGUUAAAGCAAUUCGACUUGGAUUUUACAUAUAUUUUUGAAACUGAAAACAUUGUAAUCUAUAUAUCUACUUAGAAAGAUGUGAAAUAUCCACCUAAUAAUAAUCAUUUGGGGUUACUAAUAAAAAUUAUUUUUACUUUUCUUCAUUGCUUACUUUAUAAUGAGCUGUUUCAUUUUUUAAAACACAAAAAGUUAUUAUUCUUGCAUAUUAAAUUGUUAAACAUAAAAGUAAUAUGUACUCAUUGGAAAAAAAUCCAGACACCUUCUCUUCCAGGUGACCUAAAUAGAAUUAGGGAGAGAGAAAAAUAAUGAUCUCUGAUCAGAAAAUAUAAUAAAAAUGAUUUUAGAAAGAGUCAACAUAUUUACUCUGCUUAGAAGUUUACACAUAUAAUCUCAUUUAAUUUUCACAACAUAUUAUGCAGUAGGAAGCAUCAUUAGCUCCAUUUUAUAGACAAAAAAAAUCUCUUGCAUUCUGCAAUUGUCUAAAAUUACUUUGAAAAGAGACAGUUUUUAAUAGCAUAGUUAAAGAUAAAAGAUUUAUAACAUACACAUGAUAGAGAAAAUUAAUAUAGUCAUGCAUUACUUCAUGAUGGAAAUAUGUUCUGAGAAAUGUGUUGUUAUAUGAUUUUGUUGCUGUGUAAACAUCACAGAGUGAACCCACACAUCCUCGAAGGUAUAGCCUAAUGCUCUUAGGUUACAAAGCUGUACAGCAUGUAACUCUACUGAAUACUGUGGUCAUUAUAACAAAUUGGUAUCUGUGUAUCUAAACAUUAAAAAGGUACACUACAAAGAGACUUAGACUCCCACACAAUAAUAAUGGGAGACUUUAACACCCCACUGUCAACAUUAGACAGAUCAACGAAACAGAAAGUUAACAAGGAUACCCAGGAAUUGAACUCAGCUCUGCACCAAGCAGAUCUAAUAGACAUCUACAGAACUCUCCACCCCAAAUCAACAGAAUAUACAUUUUUCUCAGCACCACACCACACCUGUUCCAAAAUUGACCACAUAGUUGGAAGUAAAGCUCUCCUCGGCAAAUGUAAAAGAUCAGACAUUAUAACAAACUGUCUCUCAGACCACGGUGCAAUCAAACUAGAACUCAG